rnacentral:rRNA from 1 species
UACGGUAGGCAGCAAGCGUUGCUCGGAAUGACUGGGCGUAAAGGGCGCGUAGGCGGUACAUCUUUGUCGGGCGUGAAACUUCCAGGGCUUAACCUUGGGGCUGGCGUUCGAGACGGGGUGUCUUGAGUGGGGAAGAGGGUCGUGGAAUUCCCAAGUGUAGAGGUGAAAUUACGUGAGAUAUUGGGAAGAACACCGGGAGCGAAGGCGG